CCUACGGGGUGCAGCAGGCGCGCAAACUUUACAAUGCGAGCAAUCGUGAUAAGGAAACCCUGAGUGCCUGUNGNNGCAGGCUGUUCAUAUAUCUAAAUCAUANGUGAAGAAAGGGCAGGGCAAGACCGGUGCCAGCCGCCGCGGUAAUACCGGCUGCUCGAGUGAUGGCCACUAUUACUGGGUUUAAAGCGUCCGUAGCUUGACUGUUAGGUCUCUUGGGAAAUCUUCACGCUCAACGUGAAGGCGUCUAAGAGAUACCGGCAGUCUUGGAACUGGGAGAGGUAAACCGUACUACAGGGGUAGGAGUGAAAUCUUGUAAUCC
rnacentral:rRNA from 1 species